rnacentral:rRNA from 1 species
UACGUAGGGUGCAAGCGUUAAUCGGAAUUACUGGGCGUAAAGCGUGCGCAGGCGGUUUUGUAAGUCUGUCGUGAAAUCCCCGGGCUCAACCUGGGAACUGCAUUUGUGACUGCACGGCUAGAGUGUGUCAGAGGGGGGUAGAAUUCCACGUGUAGCAGUGAAAUGCGUAGAUAUGUGGAGGAAUACCGAUGGCGAAGGCAGCCCCCUGGGAUAACACUGACGCUCAUGCACGAAAGCGUGGGGAGCAAACAGG